rnacentral:rRNA from 1 species
CCUACGGGGGGCUGCAGUGGGGAAUAUUGGACAAUGGGGGGAACCCUGAUCCAGCCAUGCCGCGUGUGUGAAGAAGGCCCUCGGGUUGUAAAGCACUUUCAGUGAGGAAGAACGCCUGGUGGUUAAUACCCAUCAGGAAAGACAUCACUCACAGAAGAAGCACCGGCUAACUCCGUGCCAGCAGCCGCGGUAAUACGGAGGGUGCGAGCGUUAAUCGGAAUUACUGGGCGUAAAGCGCGCGUAGGUGGCUUGAUAAGCCGGUUGUGAAAGCCCCGGGCUCAACCUGGGAACGGCAUCCGGAACUGUCAAGCUAGAGUGCAGGAGAGGAAGGUAGAAUUCCCGGUGUAGCGGUGAAAUGCGUAGAGAUCGGGAGGAAUACCAGUGGCGAAGGCGGCCUUCUGGACUGACACUGACACUGAGGUGCGAAAGCGUGGGUAGCAAACAGGAUUAGAUGCCCCAGUAGUC